GCGAGGGAGACCGGCCGCGCAUCUGAGCGUUGGACUGUUCGGGCACCCGUCUGCCUAUUUUUCUAUAUUGGGAUUUAGCCUGGUUUGGUGGCCUCCCGGCGAAUUAUUGCGUUCAUUCGGAACUUCGACAUGGCAGCACUGCACUAUUGGACUACGGCGAGCUCACGUCGUCUGGCGGAGCUUCCUGCGGAAACUACUGCUGCUUACCUGGUGCCACAACGUUGGAUGAAUGCACAAAAAGCCCGCGACGAGCAUUUACAAAAAACAAAAUAAACGUUAAUUUUUCCUCAUUUCACAAGGUGUCUUGCGUGAUUAUGAAAUUGCACGUGGCACAUAUUCAAUGGAGGGUUGUGAAGAUCGUUCGCAAUCAAUUUUACUUAAUAAAAUGAUUUCCAAAUUAAUAUUUAUUAAAUAAAAAUAAAUAUUUGCUGCAAAAGCAAAAAAA